rnacentral:rRNA from 1 species
UACGUAGGGAGCAAGCGUUAUCCGGAUUUAUUGGGCGUAAAGGGUGCGUAGGCGGUUUGCUAAGUAUGAGAUUUAAGCCCGAAGCUUAACUUCGGUUCGUUUCAUAAACUGGCAGACUUGAGUAUGGCAGAGGUAAGCGGAAUUUCUAGUGUAGCGGUUAAAUGCGUAGAUAUUAGAAGGAACACCAGUGGCGAAGGCGGCUUACUGGGCCACAACUGACGCUGAGGCACGAAAGCGUGGGGAGC